UUGCUGGAACGCGCCCCUGGCGCACCCAGAAACCCUUUGUGAACUUAUACCUUACUGUUGCCUCGGCGCAGGCCGUCCCCUAACGGGGUCCCUUUUGUCUCAAAAGGAGCAGCCGGCCGGUGGCCAAAUUAACUCUGUUUUUAAACUGAAACUCUGAGUAAAAAACAUAAAUGAAUCAAAACUUUCAACAACGGAUCUCUUGGUUCUGGCAUCGAUGAAGAACGCAGCGAAAUGCGAUAAGUAAUGUGAAUUGCAGAAUUCAGUGAAUCAUCGAAUCUUUGAACGCACAUUGCGCCCUCUGGUAUUCCGGAGGGCAUGCCUGUUCGAGCGUCAUUUCAACCCUCAAGCCUGGCUUGGUGUUGGGGCACUGCUUUCUAACGAGAGCAGGCCCUGAAAUAUAGUGGCGAGCUCGCCAGGACUCCGAGCGUAGUAGUUAAACCCUCGCUUUGGAAGGCCUGGCGGUGCCCUGCCGUUAAACCCCAACUUCUGAAAAUUUGACCUCGGAUCAGGUAGGAAUACCCGCUGAAC
rnacentral:rRNA from 1 species